UGCUCCACAUUUGAAACAUCUAGUCUCUCUAUCCUUGGUAUCUCUAGGUGGCUCUCUUGAAGUCCUUUGUUCUUUUCCCUUAUAGCUUUCUUUGUCUCUUUUUAGCUCUCUAUCUUUGCCUUUGAGCUUGUCUUGUGGUCUUUCUCGCUCUCUCUCCUUUGUUUCCUCAUAUCUUGGAAAGCUACCCUCCCUCUUAAAAUCUCUCCUAUAUGAUGAUGUGGUAGGGUAGGUUCUUUUGGUGGAAGCUUUUCUCCUAUUUUGUUCUUCUACUCUUACACAUAGCUGGACAAAAUCAUUUAGAUCUAAGUAAGGUAAGAGUUCUACCUUAUCUCUAAUGUCAUAGUUUAAUCCAC
rnacentral:lncRNA from 1 species